CACGUAAGCGCGGGAUGCUUACGUGGAAGGAAAUUGCUUCCUCAAGGACGCGAUUUCCUUCCACGUAAGCAUCUCGCGAUGUCAGGG
rfam:Gossypium hirsutum cultivar TM-1 chromosome 21, whole genome shotgun sequence